UUAACUUGUUAGUCAUAAAAAUUGCUCUCCUAAGAAAUAUGCUGGAAAUAUCCGGAUGUAGAUUUAUAAUUAAAACUGAAAGCAAAACAGCCUUCUUUAAAAGAAGUGAAAUUAUUAAUUCAUAUCUGCAUAGCUUAUAAUGAAAGUGAAAAUGCUGGCAUGUAUGAAUACUGGGAAGUUCUGGGAUUUGAAUUUCAUCAUUGACCAUCUUG
rfam:Ochotona princeps cont2.150309, whole genome shotgun sequence.